AGUGAACGCUGGCGGUAGGCCUAACACAUGCAAGUCGAACGGCAGCACAGUAAGAGCUUGCUCUUACGGGUGGCGAGUGGCGGACGGGUGAGGAAUACAUCGGAAUCUACUUUUUCGUGGGGGAUAACGUAGGGAAACUUACGCUAAUACCGCAUACGACCUACGGGUGAAAGCAGGGGAUCUUCGGACCUUGCGCGAUUGAAUGAGCCGAUGUCGGAUUAGCUAGUUGGCGGGGUAAAGGCCCACCAAGGCGACGAUCCGUAGCUGGUCUGAGAGGAUGUUCAGCCACACUGGAACUGAGACACGGUCCAGACUCCUACGGGAGGCAGAAGUGGGGAAUAUUGGACAAUGGGCGCAAGCCUGAUCCAGCCAUACCGCGUGGGUGAAGAAGGCCUUCGGGUUGUAAAGCCCUUUUGUUGGGAAAGAAAAGCAGCAGGUUAAUACCCCGAUGUUCUGACGGUACCCAAAGAAUAAGCACCGGCUAACUUCGUG
rnacentral:rRNA from 1 species